ensembl:lncRNA
UGGAAAUCGGCUUGCAAACAGUUUGCCAUCCGGCGUUAGUUCAUAUUUUAAUACAUAUAAAAACUCGCUUUUUGCUGAAGUAGAAAGACAAAAAUCAUCACACAAGAAAUGUUUCAUUCAUAGGUUGGUGUAUAUAGCAAAGAUAAACAGUUCCCUAGCGGGUGAUGAGCAUAAUGCACUUGCAGGUCACUAUGAGCAAUUUGUAUCUAAGAUACAGAAAAAUACCCAAGCUGAAGGGAUCACUGGUCAUAUGUUUAUGUACCCUGACUGCGUUGUUCAUUUGAUUGAGACAUCAUCAGAGGUUCUGACACUAAUUUUGAAAGAUCUGUGUGAAAUGGAGAAAAGUGCCAACCCUCUGUUGAAAGAUGUACGGGUGCUGGUGGUCUCACACUGUUUGCUCAGCCGUAUCUUCACCUCCUGGGCUACACAAAUCCUCACCGUAACGCUGAGUCUGCAGGAUAGCACGUCACAAACUGAGCCUGAAGAAUUGCUUGCCCAGAUUUACAAACUCUGCACUUUGAUCGAGAGAACCCAG